rnacentral:rRNA from 1 species
AGUGAACGCUGGCGGUAGGCCUAACACAUGCAAGUCGAACGGCAGCACAGUAAGAGCUUGCUCUUACGGGUGGCGAGUGGCGGACGGGUGAGGAAUACAUCGGAAUCUACUUUUUCGUGGGGGAUAACGUAGGGAAACUUACGCUAAUACCGCAUACGACCUACGGGUGAAAGCAGGGGAUCUUCGGACCUUGCGCGAUUGAAUGAGCCGAUGUCGGAUUAGCUAGUUGGCGGGGUAAAGGCCCACCAAGGCGACGAUCCGUAGCUGGUCUGAGAGGAUGAUCAGCCACACUGGAACUGAGACACGGCCCAAACUCCUACGGGAGGCAGCAGUGGGGAAUAUUGCACAAUGGGCGAAAGCCUGAUGCAGCGACGCCGCGUGAGCGAAGAAGUAUUUCGGUAUGUAAAGCUCUAUCAGCAGGGAAGAUAAUGACGGUACCUGACUAAGAAGCACCGGCUAAAUACGUG